UACGUAGGGUGCAAGCGUUAAUCGGAAUACUGGGCGUAAAGCGUGCGCAGGCGGUUGUGCAAGACCGAUGUGAAAUCCCCGGGCUUAACCUGGGAAUGGCAUUGGUGACUGCACGGCUAGAGUGUGUCAGAGAGGGGUAGAAUUCCACGUGUAGCAGUGAAAUGCGUAGAGAUGUGGAGGAAUACCGAUGGCGAAGGCAGCCCCCUGGGAUGACACUGACGCUCAUGCACGAAAGCGUGGGGAGCAAACAGG
rnacentral:rRNA from 1 species